rnacentral:lncRNA from 1 species
GACAACAUACACAAAAAAUACACCCUAGACCUAUACACACAAGAGUGAGCGCCGUUACAAAGGGACCUGAUCUUUUUCAUUACUCUCUAAGAAACCAGCCACUGAGAACACAAACAAUAGACCCUUCAGCCGUGACCCAUCUCCAAAUCCCUGUAUUUUUCUUCAAACUUGAGAGAACACAAACCCUAGGGACCUAGACAGCCAUAGAACACGACUUUCCCCCAUCGACACCGAUCUUCUUCUUCGUCCUCAAGAACCAAAAAGAACACAAACCAGCCCCCCAGAACUUGAGCUUCUUCUUCACAAAACAACGUUGGGGUUCUUCUUCAUGAAGGACUAACCUAAAAACCUACAUGAAACAAGAUCAACAACCAUAUCCAUGAAGCCAAAUCUUUUUCUUCUCUAUUGACAUAGCUAAAAAAAAUGACAGAAAGUAGCGCUUUCCAUUGAAUUUGACGACUCAACAUUGAAUCCGGCAAAUGCUACAGAUCAUGUCGCUCUCCUAUCUCGCCCUUUCUCUCUCGUUUCUCACUGCUAUAUCGCCGUUUGUUGAUGCCGAUCGAAGUGUUGUCCACUGUUUCCGUUUAAGUUCGAGUUGUUACAUCUCUGUGGUUGUUUAUUUUGAAUCUCAGUGUUCAUUUGUUUGUAUAUACUUUCUAAAUAGAGACAUAAUAUUAAAAGCAUAUCAAGUUGUUCAUUUUGAAGACAUUUUCUUUGUGGGUUUAGGUUACCUUCCCAUAUUGUUGAGCUUCUGAGUAGCCUUAGGAGAUAUUGAUGAAGUUUUGUUGUAGGGAUUACGUUUUGCAUGCAGUUUACUUGCCAAAGUUUGAUAUUAUGUAAUGGUAAGGACUAAAAAUGUUAUUUUCCUUCAAUCUCAAUGUGAAGCGGAUGAUUGACUACUACGCUCUUUGGACAAUUUCAUUUUGCACGGGAAGAGAAGUAGAUUUGAAAUUUUGAACUAACUUUGAAAUUUUAAACUAAGUUGAAGAAGCAGCAGCUGUAUCUGGUACUUGAGCCAUCUCCCUCAUCCCUUUUUCCCGUCAUCGUGCUAUAUGACGAAGUCGACGGAGGUGACUAACAAAUGAAGGGAAGUGUUUGGGAAAUUUGUCGUUUUGAUAUUAGUUGUGUUUUUUAAAUUUGUAGAAGCUUCAAUUCUAGAGGAGGUAUUUGAUAGAUUUUAACAAAUGGGAAAUCUUUAUCAAGGAUGGGUUGACU